UAACGGGUGAGUAAUGCGUGACCAACCUGCCCCAUGCUCCAGAAUAGCUCUUGGAAACGGGUGGUAAUGCUGGAUGCUCCAACUUGACGCAUGUCUUGUUGGGAAAGUGUUUAGUGGCAUGGGAUGGGGUCGCGUCCUAUCAGCUUGUAGGCGGGGUAAUGGCCCACCUAGGCUUCGACGGGUAGCCGGCCUGAGAGGGCGGACGGCCACAUUGGGACUGAGAUACGGCCCAGACUCCUACGGGAGGCAGCAGUC
rnacentral:rRNA from 1 species